UGGGGAAUCUUGCACAAUGGGCGCAAGCCUGAUGCAGCCAUGCCGCGUGUAUGAAGAUGGCCUUCGGGUUGUAAAGUACUUUCAGCGGGGAGGAAGGGAGUAAAGUUAAUACCUUUGCCCAUUGACGUUACCCGCAGAAGAAGCACCGGCUAACUCCGUGCCAGCAGCCGCGGUAAUACGGAGGGUGCAAGCGUUAUUCGGAAUUACUGGGCGUAAAGCGCACGCAGGCGGUUUGUUAAGUCAGAUGUGAAAUCCCCGGGCUCAACCUGGGAACUGCACCUGAUACUGGCAAGCUUGAGUCUCGUAGAGGGGGGUAGAAUUCCAGGUGUAGCGGUGAAAUGCGUAGAGAUCUGGAGGAAUACCGGUGGCGAAGGCGGCCCCCUGGACGAAGACUGACGCUCAGGUGCGAAAGCGUGGAGAGCAAACAGG
rnacentral:rRNA from 1 species